GGAAGCGUGGCAGAGUGGACGAUUGCGCCGGUUUCGAAAACCGGUAUACCCUUACAGGUAUCGGAGGUUCGAAUCCUCCCGCUUCCG
rnacentral:tRNA from 1 species